UGCUGAUUUGUCAAUAAGUGUUUGAGAGUGU
rnacentral:piRNA from 1 species